rnacentral:rRNA from 1 species
CCUACGGGAGGCAGCAGUGGGGAAUAUUGCACAAUGGGGGAAACCCUGAUGCAGCGACGCCGCGUGAGUGAAGAAGUAUUUCGGUACGUAAAGCUCUAUCAGCAGGGAAGAAAAUGACGGUACCUGACUAAGAGGCCCCGGCUAACUACGUGCCAGCAGCCGCGGUAAUACGUAGGGGGCAAGCGUUAUCCGGAUUUACUGGGUGUAAAGGGAGCGUAGACGGCAGCGCAAGUCUGGAGUGAAAUCCCAUGGCUUAACCAUGGAACUGCAUUGGAAACUGUGCAGCUAGAGUGCAGGAGAGGUAAGCGGAAUUCCUAGUGUAGCGGUGAAAUGCGUAGAUAUUAGGAGGAACACCAGUGGCGAAGGCGGCUUACUGGACUGUAACUGACGUUGAGGCUCGAAAGCGUGGGGAGCAAACAGGAUUAGAUACCCUGGUAGUC